GAACAUGAACCACCACCCCCAUCAUCUCCCUCAAGCCCUUCAAGACCGAAACCCUAAUCGAUGCCCCCAAAUUCCAUAGCCGACGAUGGCGGAGCCACCGCCAAACCUCAUCCCAGUAACACCCCAAACUAUCCUCCACAUACUCUACCUGAAUCCAUACCCCUUUUUCCUCGAAUCACAGCCAAAACCUUCGAAUCUUAGAUCAAAGAAACUUCGGCCAAAACAUCACCUCGCCCAAACACCACCAAAUUUACACCACAAGACCGCCUCCGUGUCCUUUAGCGAACCCCCUUAACCCCUUCACUCGAAUCCUGCCAGAAAUGUGCAAAUAUUAGUUUAAGUUUUUCCGGCCAAAACUCUAGUCACACAAACUCGCCCCAAAAUAAGACCAGAUGUCCCUUGGGCCCUGAUCAUGAAGAAUUCAAUGUUAUUAACACUCAAUUCCCACCGGAGAUGGGUGAAUUUGAAGCGUGAAAGUCAGCCUAAUUUCGAGCCAUGGCAGCUUUUUGUUUUCUUUUUUGUUUAAUUCUUUUAUUUUGCUUCUUUGAUCAUACUCGUUAAAUUCUAAUUUAAGAUGCAUCUUGAGUUUCUAUUGAUUUUGAUUUUAAUUUUGUGUCUGAUUUUUGUUUAAUUAGACUGCAAUUUGUCUAUUUCUUUAGUUUAGUUUGAUUAUUAGCAUGGCUUCAUUUGUUAUGAUUAAAACUUGUUUUGAUAAUUGUUUAAUUCUGAUGGAGAGGUUGUUAGUUAACUAAAGUUAGUUGUUAGAUAAUCAUAGUUAGGAUUUGGGUAGGGUUAGACUAAUUUACUAAUUUCAAAUGAUUUUAAGGGCAUUUCGGGUAACUAGUAAGAUACAUAGAUAUUGUAGAUUAUACCUGAAGUUCCUAAAACCUUCUAGAUAGGGCAAAAAUUAGAAUUUCAGAAAGAUAAGUGCACUUACUUGAAGCACAAGUCAGUAAACAAAGGGUGAAAAGUUAAAAACUGAAAUCAAAGGAGGGGUUGAAAUGAAAGAAAACAAAAAUCUGAGUUGCACUUCAUUUUUGCCUUUAAAAGGCAUCACAAAUGCCUCGAAAAACAAGUUUUUUAGCCAUCAAAAAUUCCUCGUAAAAGCUCUCUUUCCAAUUUUCAGAUCUGAACUGGAAAUUCAAAUAUUCAAAAAUCCAAAAACAUCAUAAAACAAAAAAAACAUUCUAUUGUUUCAUUGCCUAGUUAUAUCAUUUUAAAGUUUUCGUUGAUUUUCUUCAAAUUUUGUUCUAAGUUCGAGUUUCAACAGCAUUUAGAAGUAUUUCGUAAUAUGUUCGAGUGAAUAUGGGUUUGUUUAGGUUGGUUUUUGGUUAAGUACUAUUCCAGGGAAGUUUCAGAAGCAAUUUAAGUUCAUUUUCGAAGUUAUUUGAGUACAAUUUGAGUUAGUUGUGGUUUAGCGGAUUGGAAGCACUAAUUUCUGGUUUCAUUUUGGUCAAUUUCUGUGUUGUGUUUGGUCUGAUGUACAAGUCUCGUUUGGUUUUAAAUCAGUUCUGAAUCACUGAGCUAUUUCUAGGUUAAAACCGUGUUGCAUAUUGCUGCUGUGCUAACUUCUUCUUCUUCCUGUUGAAUUCUGAUUCUGAGGUACAUAUUUAUAAACUCACUUUGAUGUAAUUAUGAAUUGGAGUUGGAAUAGAGCUAUUCAUCAUAUCUAUGUGCUGAAGAUGAUUAUCUGCUGUUCUAGUAUGUAGUUAAUUAGUUGCUUGUUAAUUAGCUUUUUGUAUCCAUCUAUGUUAACCUGUGUUGGCAUUGCAUGCAAUGGAUAUAAGGUUGUAUAAUUAGGAUGAUUUUUAUUUGGUUUGUACUAUGGGCUGUUAAUUGGUGCUGAAGAUGAUUUUCUGUUGUUCUAGUAUGUAGUUAAUUAGUUGCUUGUUAAUUAGCUUUUUGUAUCCAUCUAUGUUAACCUGUAUUGGCAUUGCAUGCAAUGGAUGUAAGGCUGUAUAAUUAGGAUGAUUUUAAUUUGGUUUGUACUAUGGACUGUUAAUUUAAACUGUGGAUUGUGGAUUGUUAAUUACAUGCUACAGUAAAUGUAGUUCGUUUGUUUAGUUUAAGUGUUCAACAUUAGAAAGUAAUUUAGGUAGGAAACUAAGUGGGGAAUACAUACAUUUGUAACUGAGUGAGCGGACUGUUAAGUUCAAAGCAUGCAUAAGUUCAAUACAUGACAGCAAGUGUUAAAUGGAAAUUAGGAGUUAAUCAGGGAUUGUUUGGAUAACCUUCGUACAUGAAUGCUUCCUCAAUGAAUUGUAG
rnacentral:lncRNA from 1 species